UACGAAGGGGGCUAGCGUUGCUCGGAAUCACUGGGCGUAAAGCGCACGUAGGCGGAUCGUUAAGUCGGAGGUGAAAUCCUGGAGCUCAACUCCAGAACUGCCUUCGAUACUGGCGAUCUUGGAGUCCGGGAGAGGUGAGUGGAACUCCGAGUGUAGAGGUGAAAUUCGUAGAUAUUCGGAAGAAACACCAGUGGCGAAGGGCGGCUCCACAUGG
rnacentral:rRNA from 1 species